rnacentral:lncRNA from 1 species
GAGGUGCUCCGAGACGAUGACCCAGAAGACAUCCUUUAGAGGAGGUAAAGCUUCCCUGGUGAGAUUCUACUGAGCUAGCUAAUUGCUAUCUUCUUGUAUCUGAUGUCUUGGAGAAGCUCUGGUGGUUUGGUUUGGUGUCUCUCUUUGCUGCGGGGGCUGCUAUUUAUAGGCGCUAGGGGUGUGUCAUGUUUCUCUCUGUGGGUUAAAAGUGGCUGGGGAGAGGACAACAAGGUUCUCGCAGGUUUUUCGAGCUAGGGAUCAGACAUGGGAAGGAAGCUUCUGGUGUGUGUGAUGAAAUUUUUAAGUGACAGCCUUUUUGUGUAAUUAUGUCUUUUGGGUCCGUCCAGAUGCGCACCAGGGCAGGCAUUCCCAAUGCAUGGCGUCUGGAGUUGUAUCCAACAUUAUACACAUCAUCUAGUCUAGAUAUUUUUUAUAGCUGUAGAAAUCAAUUCUUGAAUUCGUCGUAUCUGAACCUGUAAUCCUGUAUACGUGGUUCGGCUUGGUUUCCUGCAGUUUGUUCAUGAUUCAUGAAAAACCAUGUCGAUUGGAUACUUAUUUCUUCUGUGUUUUGCUAAGUUGCAUCUCAUAUAUAGGGAAGUAACCUUUUUUUUCUUUUUCUGUGAAUGCAUAUUAUGGUCCUAGCUGACCUGGGCUGGCUGGGUCUGGGCACCCUAUGUCAGCGUCGGCAUGCAUGGCACCGCGGCCACUGACAAGUGGCAAUGGUGGUGUGACCUCUCCCCCAAUGCUUGCAUGCAUUUGACAACUUUUCAUCACUGGGCAAGUGCUCAAUUUCACAAGCGGGAAUAAACUUAAGUGAUGUACCUUCUCCGGUUCAGUUCACUGGACGAUGUGCACGAUGACAAAUCUUGCUUUCCUCUCCCCUCAAGUAUAGUAGGAUGUCACAUUGAUCACAUGCCUAGCUCUCACCAGGACUGCACUGCUCAAACUUUUGACUUGGCCAGGGCAUGACGGCAUGCAGCUUUAUUGUGAACAUUUUUUUCAUUGUCGAAUUUUACAUCGCUUAACUAAUUUCCACAUAAAAACCACACGUUGAUCCUUAUAUUGGAUUUUUGGUUCAGUUUUGAAAUACCUGACCACACAUAUGCUUCUUGGUUCCAGAAACACUUUUAUACACGGUGCCAGCUGUGGCCAUUACGCAGCAUGGAUGGGUGUGCUCUGCUCAGAUUACCAAUGGAAGCAUACAUCUCUGGAGGCAUGGCUAUGUCUCGGCUGUGUGUGUGCUGACAUGGAUCGGCAGCGAGCUUCUUUAAGGCAUGCACAUCGUCCAAUAGCUAGGCUGCAAGGUGCCCACAGAAGAACAGAUCUGUCAAGGUGCGCAACCCAAAAACCUGUGAUCUCGAUGUUCAUUUCCAUUAGUUUUCUGAAACCCCUCUGAUCGAAUGCUACACAAGCCAUCUCAUGCAUGCAUCCUCAUAGCCUAAAAUGAAAUAAUAAAGCAUAGAUUAAGCAUCUCUGAAUAUUUUAUUACAUUAUCGGUGAUAGAGUAUCCUAGUUUUUUGUAACAGCGAUAGAGAAACCGUCUAAAGAAAUAUUUUUGCAUUGUUCAGAAAGGCAUCUCGAAAUUCAGAGAUGGUGUUUUGCCUGUCCAUGCAUUAGUUUAGGGAGCACCAUGAUUGAUUCAUCCAUUUGAGAGAGAAAUGGCGGCAGGAUGUGGGCUAAGAGCCUCCACUCUUUACAUGCCGCGCCAUCUCCGCCACCCGGUCGACGAACAGAUUCCAAAGAGACGAUGAACACCUCUAGGUCCAGGACCGAAGGAAUAUAUCUAUCUCUAUGUG